rnacentral:rRNA from 1 species
CACGUAGGGCGCAAGCGUUGUCCGGAAUUAUUGGGCGUAAAGAGCUCGUAGGCGGUCUGUUGCGUCGGCUGUGAAAACCCGGGGCUCAACCCCGGGCCUGCAGCCGAUACGAGCAGACUAGAGUUCGGCAGGGGAGACUGGAAUUCCUGGUGUAGCGGUGAAAUGCGCAGAUAUCAGGAGGAACACCGGUGGCGAAGGCGGGUCUCUGGGCCGAAACUGACGCUGAGGAGCGAAAGCGUGGGGAGCGAACAGG